rnacentral:rRNA from 1 species
GGGGGGGGCAUGCUAAUACAUGCAAGUCGAACGAACUUCCGUUAAUUGAUUAUGACGUACUUGUACUGAUUGAGAUUUUAACACGAAGUGAGUGGCGAACGGGUGAGUAACACGUGGGUAACCUGCCCAGAAGCAGGGGAUAACACCUGGAAACAGAUGCUAAUACCGUAUAACAGAGAAAACCGCAUGGUUUUCUUUUAAAAGAUGGCUCUGCUAUCACUUCUGGAUGGACCCGCGGCGUAUUAGCUAGUUGGUGAGGCAAAGGCUCACCAAGGCAGUGAUACGUAGCCGACCUGAGAGGGUAAUCGGCCACAUUGGGACUGAGACACGGCCCAGACUCCUACGGGAGGCAGCAGUAGGGAAUCUUCCACAAUGGACGCAAGUCUGAUGGAGCAACGCCGCGUGAGUGAAGAAGGGUUUCGGCUCGUAAAGCUCUGUUGUUAAAGAAGAACGUGGGUAAGAGUAACUGUUUACCCAGUGACGGUAUUUAACCAGAAAGCCACGGCUAACUACGUGCCAGCAGCCGCGGUAAUACGUAGGUGGCAAGCGUUAUCCGGAUUUAUUGGGCGUAAAGCGAGCGCAGGCGGUCUUUUAAGUCUAAUGUGAAAGCCUUCGGCUCAACCGAAGAAGUGCAUUGGAAACUGGGAGACUUGAGUGCAGAAGAGGACAGUGGAACUCCAUGUGUAGCGGUGAAAUGCGUAGAUAUAUGGAAGAACACCAGUGGCGAAGGCGGCUGUCUGGUCUGCAACUGACGCUGAGGCUCGAAAGCAUGGGUAGCGAACAGGAUUAGAUACCCUGGUAGUCCAUGCCGUAAACGAUGAUUACUAAGUGUUGGAGGGUUUCCGCCCUUCAGUGCUGCAGCUAACGCAUUAAGUAAUCCGCCUGGGGAGUACGACCGCAAGGUUGAAACUCAAAAGAAUUGACGGGGGCCCGCACAAGCGGUGGAGCAUGUGGUUUAAUUCGAAGCUACGCGAAGAACCUUACCAGGUCUUGACAUCUUCUGACAGUCUAGAGAUUAGAGGGUUCCCUUCGGGGACAGAUGACAGGUGGUGCAUGCUGUCGUCAGCUCGUGUCGUGAGAUGGUUGGGUUAAGUCCCCGCACGAGCGCACCCUGAUACUAGCUGGCAGCAUCAGCUGGGCACUCUAGUGGAGACUGGCGUGACAAUGGGAGCAAGGUGGGGUACGACGUUCAAUCAUCAUGCCCCAUAG